UUGGAGGGCAAGUCUGGUGCCAGCAGCCGCGGUAAUUCCAGCUCCAAUAGCGUAUAUUAAAGUUGUUGCAGUUAAAAAGCUCGUAGUUGAAUUUCGGGAUUAGUACGUUGGUCGUGCCUUAGGUACGUACUGGUGUUACUGGUUCCUACCUUCUGACGAACCAUCAUGUCAUUAAUUUGGUGUGGUGGGGAAUCAGGACUGUUACUUUGAAAAAAUUAGAGUGUUUAAAGCAGGCUCGCGCUUGAAUACAUUAGCAUGGAAUAAUGAAAUAGGACGUUGAUCCUAUUUUGUUGGUUUCUAGGAUUGACGUAAUGAUUAAUAGGGAUAGUUGGGGGCAUUAGUAUUCAAUUGUCAGAGGUGAAAUUCUUGGAUUUAUUGAAGACUAACUACUGCGAAAGCAUUUGCCAAGGAUGUCUUCAUUAAUCAAGAACGAAAGUUAGGGGAUCGAAGACGAUCAGAUACCGUCGUAGUCUUAACCAUAAACUAUGCCGACUAGGGAUCGGAUGAUGUUAUUUUUAAUGACUCAUUCGGCGCCUUACGGGAAAC
rnacentral:rRNA from 1 species